UACGUAGGGGGCUAGCGUUGUCCGGAAUUAUUGGGCGUAAAGAGCUCGUAGGCGGUUUGUUGCGUCGGCUGUGAAAUCCCGAGGCUCAACCUCGGGUCUGCAGUCGAUACGAGCAAACUAGAGUGUUGCAGGGGAGACUGGAAUUCCUGGUGUAGCGGUGAAAUGCGCAGAUAUCAGGAGGAACACCGGUGGCGAAGGCGGGUCUCUGGGCAACAACUGACGCUGAUGGACGAAAGCGUGGGUAGCGAACAGG
rnacentral:rRNA from 1 species